rnacentral:rRNA from 1 species
AAAUGACUCUCGACAACGGAUAUCUCGGCUCUCGCAUCGAUGAAGAACGUAGCGAAAUGCGAUACUUGGUGUGAAUUGCAGAAUCCCGUGAACCAUCGAGUUUUUGAACGCAAGUUGCGCCUAAGGCCAUUGGCUAAGGGCACAUCUGCUUGGGUGUCACGU